rnacentral:piRNA from 1 species
UCAUCGUGGAACACGGAAGCAUGAUGGGUAC